GAUGAACGCUGGCGGCGUGCCUAAUACAUGCAAGUCGAGCGAACAGACGAGGAGCUUGCUCCUCUGACGUUAGCGGACGGACGGGUGAGUAACACGUGGAUAACCUACCUAUAAGACUGGGAUAACUUCGGGAAACCGGAGCUAAUACCGGAUAAUAUAUUGAACCGCAUGGUUCAAUAGUGAAAGACGGUUUUGCUGUCACUUAUAGAUGGAUCCGCGCCGCAUUAGCUAGUUGGUAAGGUAACGGCUUACCAAGGCGACGAUGCGUAGCCGACCUGAGAGGGUGAUCGGCCACACUGGAACUGAGACACGGUCCAGACUCCUACGGGAGGCAGCAGUAGGGAAUCUUCCGCAAUGGGCGAAAGCCUGACGGAGCAACGCCGCGUGAGUGAUGAAGGUCUUCGGAUCGUAAAACUCUGUUAUUAGGGAAGAACAAAUGUGUAAGUAACUAUGCACGUCUUGACGGUACCUAAUCAGAAAGCCACGGCUAACUACGUG
rnacentral:rRNA from 1 species